CCUACGGGAGGCAGCAGUGGGGAAUCUUGCACAAUGGGCGAAAGCCUGAUGCAGCGACGCCGCGUGAGUGAAGAAGGAUUUCGGUGUGUAAAGCUCUAUCAGCAGAGAAGAAAAUGCCGGUACGUGACUAUGAAGCCCCGGCUAACUACGUGCCAGCAGCCGCGGUAAUACGUAGGGGGCAAGCGUUAUCCGGAUUUACUGGGGGUAAAGGGAGCGUAGACGGCCAGACAAGUCAGAAGUGAAAGCCCAGGGCUUAACCCUGGGACUGCAUUUGAAACUGCCGGGCUGGAGUGCAGGAGAGGUAAGCGGAAUUCCUAGUGUAGCGGUGAAAUGCGUAGAUAUUAGGAGGAACACCAGUGGCGAAGGCGGCUUACUGGACUGUAACUGACGUUGAGGCUCGAAAGCGUGGGGAGCAAACAGGAUUAGAUACCCUUGUAGUC
rnacentral:rRNA from 1 species